rnacentral:rRNA from 1 species
CUACGGGGCGCUGCAGUAGGGAAUUUUCGGCAAUGGGCGAAAGCCUGACCGAGCAAUGCCGCGUGAACGAUGAAGGUCUUCGGAUCGUAAAGUUCUGUUAUUAGGGAAGAACAUACAGUCUAGGAAAUGAUUCUGUACUGACGGUACCUAACCAGAAAGCUCCGGCUAACUACGUGCCAGCAGCCGCGGUAAUACGUAGGGAGCGAGCGUUAUCCGGAAUUAUUGGGCGUACAGCGUGCGUAGGCGGUUUACUAAGUCAAAUCUGAAAGCCCACAGCUUAACUGUGGAGGGUGAUUUGAAACUGGUAGACUUGAGUACGGCAGAGGUUAGUGGAAUUCAAUGUGUAGCGGUGUAAUGCGUAGAUAUAUUGAGGAACACCAGUGGCGAAGGCUGCUAACUGGACCGGAACUGACGCUGAGGCACGAAAGCGUGUGGAGCAAACAGGAUUAGAUACCCCCGUAGUC